CACUAUUUGGACUUGAAUGUUCAAAAGCAACAGAAUUAAUUUAACAGCUCAAUUCUAAGGAACUUUCAGUAAACAUUUUUUACUUACUCUGUCUCCUGCCCUUGGAGAGCACAUUGGUGAAAACCAAAGUAAAGAAGGCACUGAGUAUCUUAGCAUUUUCUUUUUACACAGUCUUGAAAUCCAGGCAUGAACAGAAAAUGGCAGGAGGAAUAAAGAGAAGUCUGGAGAGCAGGCCAUCUUGGGUAAUUGACAUCAUUAAACAGAUAUGCCUCUAAAGCCUGCUGAAGAUCAUUAUGUAUUUCAGAAGAGAAUACAAAUGAAUGAGAUUACUCAGAAGCAGAGGCAGAUGGCUACACGGGGCUGGUCAGAAAAACAGCUUCUUAAAACAAGAUCUACGCUUUUUAGAAACUGAAAUUGAAGUUGAACUGUUGUAAGCAAGCUCUGUCCAUUGAUGAAAGACGCAACAUGAGCAGGAAAUAUGUACUUGCAGCCCAGGAGGCCAACCUCAGAUGUAUCAAGAGAAGCAUGACCAGCAGGUCAAGGGAGGUGAUUCUGCUUCUCUACUCUGUCCUCAUUAGAUCCCACCUGGAGUCCUGCAUCCAGUUUUGGGGCCCCCAACACAAGAAGGACAUUGAGCUGAUGGAGCAGGUCCCAAAGAGGGCCUCAAAGAUGAUCAGAAGGCUGGAGCACCUCCCUUAUGAGGACAGACUGAGAGAGUUGGGGCUCUUCAGGCUAGAAAAGGGAAGGCACAGGGUAGACCUUAUAGCAGCCUACCAGUACCUGAAGGGGGUCUACAGGAAAGCAAGGGAGGGAAUUCUUAUAAGGGUAUGUAAUGACAUGAGAAGGCAAAAUAGUUUUAAAUUGAAGGAGUGUAGAUUUAGACUAGAUAUUAGGAAGAAAUUCUUUACUGUGAGUGUGGGGGACAGUGGAACAGGUUACUCAGGGUGGUUGUGGAUGCCCCCUCCCUAGACGCAUUCAAAGCCAGGCUGGAUGGGGCUCUAAUCAGUCUAGUGGGAGGUGUCCCUACCUAUAGCAGGGGGGGCUGAAACUAGAUAACCUUAAAUGUCCCUUUUAAUUCAAACCAUACUAUGGUUCUCUUAUUCUAUGAUUUUGUUUUAAAGUUCUUAAGUAUCUUUUUCAAUAUUUGUAUAUUGCUUUGUCUAUAUCCAUACCUAUGUCCUUCAUUUUGGAGUCGAUUAAUAUACUCCAAAAUAUUUUAAUGUAUUGCAGAAUGAAUUCUACUGUAGAAGUCUCAGUGAAUAAAUGAUGGUGAGGCAGCCACAUUAGAGUUUUUGAUUCUUAUGUUCACAGUCCUUACUAGCUUCAAGACAGCUGUACAAUAAAGCAUGUUCCGACUCUGUCAAUGGAAUUUACUGCUGUGACACAAAUUAGC
ensembl:lncRNA